AUUAAAAAGAAUAAUUAAAAAUCCAACAAAUAAUUUCUCUAAAAUUUACAUAUAUUAUUUAAGUUUAUGUAAUGAAAAUAAAUAAGUAUUUAACUAACUAAUUAUAUUUUUAAUAUACCUUCAAUAUUUCUGGUGAAUUCUAAUAGAAAUAUUUGAUAAUUAUUUACUUGUACUGAUCUGUUUUAGAAACUAAAAUUAUUAAGUAUUUCCUACCAAUUUUCCUAAAUAAAGUUCCAGCUUAAUAAAUGACAGUUUAAAUAAAUUGAGUAAAUUUCGCGGCUAAAGUGAUCACGUGUGCAGCUCCGCAGGGAAAAAAAAAAAUCUGCUUUCCUCAAGCAGCGACGUCGACUAGGCAUACACCUCACAGCUCCUGUUUCGUAGCUUAAUCGAAGUCACCUGAAGGACGGCUUUCCUCAGCAACGGCAAGGCCCGCACUCCUCUCAUAUCGUGUUAUGUAAUUUAGCCAGCUAAUACUAAUUAUGUUUGUAAUGUUUAAUUCAGAAGUUAAUUAUUAAGGAUUUCCUAACAAUUGUGUUUGUAUUUUGCGUUAUCUUAAGAAGUUUAACAGGUUUCGCGGCUCAAACAAGAGGCACCUGUCACUGAAGGACUGCUUUUCUCAGCAACGACGUGAACAGCAUUACUCGAAUUUCCUGGUUCAGCUGAUCUACCCGUCUUCGUACAAGCAGAGUUGGCAGAGGAGGUCAUAAAAAUCUACAUCCUUCGAAACAAUAAUGGGGCAGUCAGCGAUGUAAUCUUGGGAAUCUCAGCAGAGCCUGCUGCCAUCUUUCAGGAGUCACAUUGGAUUUGAGAUAUCCCAAGACCCACAAAUGCAGGUCCUU